CCUACGGGUGGCUGCAGUUUCGAAUCAUUCACAAUGGGCGAAAGCCUGAUGGUGCGACGCCGCGUGAGGGAUGAAGGCCUUCGGGUUGUAAACCUCUGUCACUGGGGAAGAAACGCUUCAAGUUAAUAGCUUGAAGCCUGACUUAACCCAGAGAGGAAGCAGUGGCUAACUCUGUGCCAGCAGCCGCGGUAAUACAGAGACUGCAAGCGUGGGUCGGAUUCACGGGGCGGAAAGGGUGUGUAUUCGGUGGGAAAGCCCGGGGCUUAACCUCGGAAUUGCGCCUAAAACUACACGGCUAGAGCAUUGGAGAGGGUAGCGGAAUUCACGGUGUAGCAGUGAAAUGCGUAGAUAUCGUGAGGAACACCAGAGGCGAAGGCGGCUACCUGGACAAUUGCUGACGCUCAGGCACGAAAGCGUGGGGAGCAAAAGGGAUUAGAUACCCCUGUAGUC
rnacentral:rRNA from 1 species